GUGUCUAUUGAAAGGAGAAACGGUUAUAGCACUCCCCUUGACAAGGAUGGAACACACAUUUUUUU